rnacentral:rRNA from 1 species
AACGAACGCUGGCGGCAUGCCUAACACAUGCAAGUCGAACGAGACCUUCGGGUCUAGUGGCGCUCGGGUGCGUAACGCGUGGGAACCUGCCCUUAGGUUCGCAAUAACUCCCCGUAAGGGGUGCUCAUACCGGUUAAUGUCUUCGGACCAAAGAUUUAUCGCCUUUGGAUGGGCCCGCGUUAGAUUAGUUAGUUGGUAGGGUAAAAGCCUAGCAAGGCCACGAUCCAUAGCUGGUCUGUGAGGAUGAUCAGCCACACUGGGACUGAGACACGGCCCAGACUGGUACGGAAGGCAGGAGUAGGGAAUAUAAGACGAUGAACGAAAGCGUGAUCCAGCAAUGCGGCGGAAGUGGUGAAGGGGUUAGGGUUGUAAAGCUCUUUUAGACGGAGUGAUAAUGACAGUACCGGGAGAAGAAGCACCGGCUAACUACGUG